rnacentral:rRNA from 1 species
GACGUAGGGCGCGAGCGUUGUCCGGAUUUAUUGGGCGUAAAGAGCUCGUAGGCGGCUUGUCGCGUCGUCCGUGAAAACCUGCAGCUCAACUGCAGGCUUGCGGUCGAUACGGGCAGGCUAGAGUUCGGUAGGGGAGACUGGAAUUCCUGGUGUAGCGGUGGAAAUGCGCAGAUAUCAGGAGGAACACCGAUAGCGAAAGCAGCUCGCUGGGACGGUACUGACGCGUGGAGGCGACGAAAGCGUGGGGAGCGAACAGG